CAUCGUUGAAACAUCAGUUCUUGUAUAAUCACCAAAGUUAAGCAAUGUUGAGCUUGGUUAGUGCCUAGAUGGGUGACCGCUCGGGAAUACUUGGUGCUGUAAG